CCUACGGGUGGCAGCAGUCGAGAAUCAUUCACAAUGGGGGAAACCCUGAUGGUGCGACGCCGCGUGGGGGAAUGAAGGUCUUCGGAUUGUAAACCCCUGUCAUGUGGGAGCAAAUUAAAAAGAUAGUACCACAAGAGGAAGAGACGGCUAACUCUGUGCCAGCAGCCGCGGUAAUACAGAGGUCUCAAGCGUUGUUCGGAAUCACUGGGCGUAAAGCGUGCGUAGGCGGUUUCGUAAGUCGUGUGUGAAAGGCGAGGGCUCAACCCGCGGACGGCACAUGAUACUGGGAGACUAGAGUAAUGGAGGGGGAACCGGAAUUCUCGGUGUAGCAGUGAAAUGCGUAGAUAUCGAGAGGAACACUCGUGGCGAAGGCAGGUUCCUGGACAUUAACUGACGCUGAGGCACGAAGGUCAGGGGAGCGAAAGGGAUUAGAUACCCCGGUAGUC
rnacentral:rRNA from 1 species